GCGCCGGUGGUGUAAAGGCGAUGUGUAAAAGCAUUCCCGCCCGGUCAGAGGGAGGUGCGGGUUCGAGUCCCGCCUGGCGCU
rnacentral:tRNA from 1 species